GGCGGUGGCGGAGGUGGCGGCUAUGGCGGUGGCGGCCAUGGCGGUGGCGGCUAUGGGAAGUAAGCCUAUUGUGGCGGCUGUUGUUAUGAGGGAAGCUUGGGUGACCAUCAGGUACAUCCGUGUAGGAAGGUUGUGUGUGUAAAUAAAGUUAAAGAAAGAUA